rnacentral:rRNA from 1 species
GAUCCUGGCUCAGGAUGAACGCUGGCGGCGUGCUUAACACAUGCAAGUCGAACGGACGGAGGGAGCUUGCUCCCAAAGUUAGUGGCGGACGGGUGAGUAACGCGUGGGUAACCUACCCUAUGCAGGGGGAUAACAUUUGGAAACAAAUGCUAAUACCGCAUAACCUAAGAGUUUCGCAUGAAACACUUAGCAAAGAUUUAUCGGCAUAGGAUGGACCCGCGUUGGAUUAGCUAGUUGGUGAGAUAAUAGCCCACCAAGGCAACGAUCCAUAGCCGGCCUGAGAGGGUGAACGGCCACACUGGGACUGAGACACGGCCCAGACUCCUACGGGAGGCAGCAGUGGGGAAUAUUGCACAAUGGGCGCAAGCCUGAUGCAGCGAACCGCCGCGUGAAGGAUGAAUGUCUUCGGAUUGUAAACUUCUAUCAGCAGGGAAGAAUACCAUGACGGUACCUGACUAAGAAGCCCCGGCUAACUACGUGCCAGCCGCAGC